UCGAUGUUGAGUGGUUGAUGGAUAUUUGUGUUUUAAUGUUUUAUGUUUAGGGUCUGGUAAUUAAAGUAUUAUCGCAUUUAUUUGUUUCCCAAUAUUCAAUAUCGAAAGUCAACUCUGAUAGCAAAUGGUAUGAAAAGAACGAUAGUUAUUUUGAGAUGUUGGUAAUACGUCAUUCCAGUCCCGGGAGUACAUUAUACUUGAAGCACAAACUACGUAGGUAUACACUUUGGGCGACAGUGUAGUCCGCUCGCUGUCCUUGAUACGUCCACCAGACUCUCAUGUGUUUAAACACCAAGAGUGCCCACCCGAAGUAUCCACACCUGUUUUUUUACACCUGGCGCGACACCUGAGUACCACACUUCAUCCCGACAGAAUCCCCGGCCGAUUAUGACGAAGGGACAGUGUGCAACACCUUUUUGUAUCGAUUAAUACGUGCAGGGG